rnacentral:rRNA from 1 species
GAUGAACGCUGGCGGCGUGCUUAACACAUGCAAGUCGAACGGUGAACACGGAGCUUGCUCUGUGGGAUCAGUGGCGAACGGGUGAGUAACACGUGAGCAACCUGCCCCUGACUCUGGGAUAAGCGCUGGAAACGGCGUCUAAUACUGGAUAUGUGACGUGACCGCCUGGUCUGCGUUUGGAAAGAUUUUUCGGUUGGGGAUGGGCUCGCGGCCUAUCAGCUUGUUGGUGAGGUAAUGGCUCACCAAGGCGUCGACGGAUAGCCGGCCUGAGAGGGUGACCGGCCACACUGGGAUGGAGACACGGCCCAGACUCCUACGGGAGGCAGCAGUGGGGAAUAUUGCACAAUGGGCGAAAGCGUGAUGCAGCAACGCCGCGUGAGGGAUGAAGGCCUUCGGGUUGUAAACCUUUUUUAGCAGGGAAGAAGCGAAAGUGACGGUACCUGCAGAAAAGGCGCCGGCUAACUACGUG